GAUGAACGCUGGCGGCGUGCCUAACACGUUCAAGUCGAACGGAGUUAAAUAUCUUAAUCUUCGGAAGCGGAUGCUUGACUUAGUGGCGGACGGGUGAGUAACGCGUGAGUAACCUACCCUUAUGAGUGGAAUAACACAGGGAAACUUGUGCUAAUACCGCAUGACAAGUAGAGAUCGCAUGUUCUUUACUUCAAAGAUUUAUCGCAUAAGGAUGGACUCGCGUCCGAUUAGAUAGUUGGCGGGGUAACGGCCCACCAAGUCGACGAUCGGUAGCCGGACUGAGAGGUUGAACGGCCACAUUGGAACUGAGAUACGGUCCAGACUCCUACGGGAGGCAGCAGUGGGGAAUAUUGGGCAAUGGGCGCAAGCCUGACCCAGCGACGCCGCGUGAGUGAAGACGGUCUUCGGAUUGUAAAACUCUGUUGACAGGGACGAUAAUGACGGUACCUGUCGAGGAAGUCACGACUAACUACGUG
rnacentral:rRNA from 1 species